GACGAACGCUGGCGGCGUGCCUAAUACAUGCAAGUUGAGCGCUGAAGGUUGGUACUUGUACCAACUGGAUGAGCAGCGAACGGGUGAGUAACGCGUGGGGAAUCUGCCUUUGAGCGGGGGACAACAUUUGGAAACGAAUGCUAAUACCGCAUAAAAACUUUAAACACAAGUUUUAAGUUUGAAAGAUGCAAUUGCAUCACUCAAAGAUGAUCCCGCGUUGUAUUAGCUAGUUGGUGAGGUAAAGGCUCACCAAGGCGAUGAUACAUAGCCGACCUGAGAGGGUGAUCGGCCACAUUGGGACUGAGACACGGCCCAAACUCAUACGGGAGGAAGCAGUAGGGAAUCUUCGGCAAUGGACGAAAGUCUGACCGAGCAACGCCGCGUGAGUGAAGAGGGUUUUCGGAUCGUAAAACUCUGUUGGUAGAGAAGAACGUUGGUGAGAGUGGAAAGCUCAUCAAGUGACGGUAACUACCCAGAAAGGGACGGCUAACUACGUG
rnacentral:rRNA from 1 species